AUGAACGCUGGCGGCGUGCUUAACCCAUGCAAGUCGAACGAAGCACCUCUCCCGAAGAUUGACACAGCUUGCUGUAGAUUGAUUCAUUUGAGGUGACUGAGUGGCGGACGGGUGAGUAACGCGUGGGUAACCUGCCUCAUAGAGGGGGACAACAGUUGGAAACGACUGCUAAUACCGCAUAGUAAGAAGAAUUCGCAUGUUUUCUUCUUGAAAGAUUUAUCGCUAUGAGAUGGACCCGCGUCUGAUUAGCUAGUUGGUAAGGUAACGGCUUACCAAGGCGACGAUCAGUAGCCGGCUUGAGAGAGUGAACGGCCACAUUGGGACUGAGACACGGCCCAAACUCCUACGGGAGGCAGCAGUGGGGAAUAUUGCACAAUGGGGGAAACCCUGAUGCAGCGACGCCGCGUGAGUGAAGAGGUAUUUCGGUAUGUAAAGCUCUAUCAGCAGGGAAGAUAAUGACGGUACCUGACUAAGAAGCCCCGGCUAACUACGUG
rnacentral:rRNA from 1 species